rnacentral:pre_miRNA from 7 species
UAUUAAAAUCCAACUGAAAGACCCUCGAGGGGAGACCCUUACUCAGACACUCAAGUCCCGGGACAGCCGCGUACCCAAGAAGACACUGAGACCA